GUCUAGCGUUGCUCUGGUGACAUCCAGCCAUGUAAGGUUUAUGCUUCCCUCUGCCUUAUUUACACAUCCAAUUCCUUAAGGGAAGACACCAUAUAAAGUUCAACUUCCCUGCCCAGCACCCAGUAAACAGUAAUAACGCUAGUAACAACAGCUACGUCUUCACAGCAAGUACCGCUGGGGAAGCUACGCUAAGCUCUUUCUACUCCUGCCUUGUUUACUUACUCUUCACAGAAGCCCUAAGAGAAACUUAACUGUUGCUAUAUUAACUGUCUCUCAACUGAAGCUCAGGGAUGUUACGUGACUUAUAGAGGACCUCACAGCAACUGCAUGGCAGAACAGUGGCUCCCAAACUAGCACACCAUAAAUGUUAACUGAUAAAGACCUAGGUCAAGUGAAACCAGGAAGUCCAACCACCAGGCCAUGGUAGUCUCUCCUGCCGUGCCAGCAUGCUUCAGGGAGGGGGUAAGGAGACUGGCAUUGGAAGGGAGGGGGAGAUUUCUGGGGGGCUUCCUUCUCCAGGCUCUUUCCAGAAAUCCCUCACCCGCCCCGGUUCUGCAGGUUUGGAGCUAACCCAUCUCCUGCUUUGAUCUCUGCAGCUCGGCUCAGUUGCCAUGGAGACAGGCCCACUGCGCCAAGCUGGGGGGAAAAGAUGAAGUGCGCAGGCCUAGUGGGUUUAGGGGGCGCAUGCUGGGUAUUUUGGAGGCUGUUUACUUCCUGUCGUUUUAAUUAGCACCCAAAUCGCCAGCUCACUUCACAGCUUGAGUUAACCCAAUCGUUUCCGCUGGUUGGGGACAGAGGAGGAGGGGACAGGGAACCCAGCGGAGAAUCACUGGCCCACCCUCUCUCUGCAGCAGUGUGCUGAGGGAAGCAACCUCUCACCCAGAUGCCCAGUGUGGAGUCAGCGUACUGGGUUCCUGCUUGGCCUUACCACUGGAUGCCAGGGCUGUGUCCACUGUGUGAGACCUGGGCAAACAGAUGGAGACAGGUACCUAGGGGAUGUUGCCGCCUCCCACCUCUUUUCCCCUCUCAGGAAUUUCCUCCAAGGGUAAAAAUGUGCUUCUCAUUGCUCCCUGCAUGCCAGGAGCCUGGCCUGGGCUCAGGUAUGCCCGUGUCAACGCCCUGCCAAGGCCGGGCCAGACCAGAGCAUGACCUCC
rnacentral:lncRNA from 1 species